AAUUUCUCACCUAUUAUAAGCUUAUGUUUUGAUAUAAUAUGAUUUAUUACUGAAGAAUAUUUUAACUCCGAUCAAACUAAAGUAAUAAAUGCUUGACAAACAACUAUUUAAAUCAAUAGAUCAACAGUGAACGCGCUCGGAGCGAAUUUUGGAACACUUCCUAAAAUAUUUACAGAAGCAGCAAAUGCAACUCUGGGAUGUAGCUGAAUAUCAAAUAAUUAGGCAAAUUUGUGCGCGCAUAGUGUUUUUUCCGGAAAAUUUUCGUAGUUUUCGUAAAAUGUUGAGUUUUGUGAAAUAAUAUAUAUGUAAAUCCUAUUAUAUAUUGACUUUCUUUUUAAAUAAGAUUUAGACAUUUUGUAUUUGCAAUAUACGUGAGUCGUGUGCUAGCAGAGGUUUUACAAAUAUCGGCCUCGUGGAGAUUUGGAAGUUUCUGGCCAAACAACCAACAAAAAAAAAUGCCGAAAAGAUGUGUAUGCAGAUGUGCAGAAGUAAGCUCCCUCUACAAGUUUCCUUUGGCCUCGGAUGUAUCAAGGCUUAUUGAGCAAGAAUGAUACGGGAAGUAAAUGAUCGAAAAUUUUCACAUCAAACCGGUUUCGUGGACUUAUAUUUAAUUAAUAAUUUUAACAUCGCGCCUUUAUUGUAUUUUUAAUAGCUUUAACCUUUUAAUAAGAUAGCUAAGAUGGUACGUGCUGUUAAUUCCUCUUUGUAUCUAAUUAAUUUUAAUUAGUAUGCGUGGAGUUAAAUUUAGUGUAAAAGCAGCAAAAUAUAUUAUUAUGUACUUCGGUUUUCAGCUGCUUACUAGUAAUAAGUCGUAGAUUUAAGUUUUUUUUAAGUUACAGUGUUUAAUUAUAAAAUCGGUAUUUUCAUAUACAUGCAUGUAUGCAUGUACUUAGGUUUUCAGCUACCUUCUAGUAAUUAGGCUUAUGGCCUUAUUCAUAAAAAAUAAAGUAGGUUUAAAGAGUUUUGCAAAUUGACGUUUUCAUAUAUUUUUCAAUUUAUAAACCUAUUUUAAAGAAACUUAAUUUUUUAUGAAUAAUGCCAUUAGACGUUAAACAUAAAAUUACAUAACAAACUACAAUUAGUAAGAAAAUAAACAUAAUUAUGUACUAAUAAUAGUUAACUAAACUAAUGUUACCAAGGUUAAGAAUGUAUUCAAUAAAGUGUUAAAAACAUUAAAAUA